rnacentral:rRNA from 1 species
CGCAGCAGUCGCGAAAACUUCGCAAUGGGGGCAACCCCGACGAGGGAAUUCCAAGUGCCAGCACUUUGUGUUGGCUGUUCUCCUGUCUAAAAAACGGGAGGAGUAAGGGGCGGGUAAGACGG